rnacentral:rRNA from 1 species
AGUGAACGCUGGCGGUAGACCUAACACAUGCAAGUCGAACGGCAGCACAGUAAGAGCUUGCUCUUACGGGUGGCGAGUGGCGGACGGGUGAGGAAUACAUCGGAAUCUACUUUUUCGUGGGGGAUAACGUAGGGAAACUUACGCUAAUACCGCAUACGACCUACGGGUGAAAGCAGGGGAUCUUCGGACCUUGCGCGAUUGUAUUAGCCGAUGUCGGAUUAGCUAGUUGGCGGGGUAAAGGCCCACCAAGGCGACGAUCCGUAGCUGGUCUGAGAGGAUGGUCAGCCACACUGGAACUGAGACACGGUCCAGACUCCUACGGGAGGCAGCAGUGGGGAAUAUUGGACAAUGGGCGCAAGCCUGAUCCAGCCAUACCGCGUGGGUGAAGAAGGCCUUCGGGUUGUAAAGCCCUUUUGUUGGGAAAGAAAAGCAGCAGGUUAAUACCCCGCUGUUCUGACGGUACCCAAAGAAUAAGCACCGGCUAACUUCGUG